ensembl:lncRNA
GCAGUAGAGCAGUUCCCUGGGCCACUUCAGGAGAACAGAAAGAACACUCAACAGGAGAGACCCCUGAGGACUGUUUUUAUAUUAAUGGCUAAACUCACUGCUGAAGUCAGGUGGGAAUUUGGCCAGGACUCUGCUAAAUCUCAGGUGCUUGAUGUAGCUCCUUUUAGACAACAGGUUUUCUGAAGCAUGUAUAGGCCAACUUCACAGAAUUUGAUGCUUGGAAAUGAAAAUGGGAUGAAAUUUUUCUUUAUGGAAUUUGGCAGCCAAAAGAAUUACCUGAUUAGCUGUAAGUAAGAAAGAGUGUGUGAUGGGGCUUAUGAAUUCUUCCCAGCAGUACUUAAUGAUGUCCUGAUUGAUACCCACAUUCUCAAUUAGGAUUUAAGUGUGUUCUCUCUUAACUCA